AACGGCAGCAUAGGAGCUUGCUCCUUGGGUGGCGAGUGGCGGACGGGUGAGGAAUACGUCGGAAUCUGCCUAUUUGUGGGGGAUAACGUAGGGAAACUUACGCUAAUACCGCAUACGACCUUAGGGUGAAAGCGGAGGACCUUCGGGCUUCGCGCAGAUAGAUGAGCCGACGUCGGAUUAGCUAGUUGGCGGGGUAAAGGCCCACCAAGGCGACGAUCCGUAGCUGGUCUGAGAGGAUGAUCAGCCACACUGGAACUGAGACACGGUCCAGACUCCUACGGGAGGCAGCAGUGGGGAAUAUUGGACAAUGGGCGCAAGCCUGAUCCAGCCAUGCCGCGUGUGUGAAGAAGGCCUUCGGGUUGUAAAGCUCUUUUGUCAGGGAAGAAACGGUUUUGGCU
rnacentral:rRNA from 1 species